rnacentral:sRNA from 1 species
AUGCCUCAAAAGUUUGUGCAUGUGGGUUUGGUUUGUUAGUGGAAUCAAAAUUUGUUAAGCACUUCUUUAAAUUUCUUAAUUUACUCUAGUGCCUUAAAUCAUCAAUCAGUGGAGCUUGGGUGUGGUUCUAUUGGCAAUUGCAACCCCAAAUUCUUUGGUCCGCAGUGAAGAGGCUUUCAAAGGCCUUUGUAUUAAAGGUACUUUCCCUUUUGUCUCUUUUGAUUAUGUUAGCUAUCUUUUUCCGUAGUUGCUGAUUCAAAUUGCUAUGAAGUUUGACUGUUGGAUAAUCAUUGUUUAUUUAAAUACCGUAGUUGUUCAAUAUAUUCCUGUUAAUUGUUAAUUAUGUAGAAACAAAUCAAAGAAUGAGGUGUAAUAGAGAAAGGAAAGGAGCUCUUUGAACACCCUAAGGCUUUUGCUUAGGUGUAAUAUUUGGGUGGAUUCAUGUUGCAAAAUACAUUCAUCUUUUUCCCAUUUGGAACGUGCAAAUCAUGUAGCUGAUAAAAUGUCUCCCUCACUUUUGCAUUAGUCUAAGUCAACUUCACACAAACACUCACGUUAUAGCUAAAGCUAAUUAUGCCAUACAUUUACAACUUCCAAAUUUCAUUUUCUCAUUUUGAUUAGUGGUUUAAUUUUGUAGGAUUUGAGGAUCGGUUAAUGGCAUGUUGUGUCUAUGGAGGGCUAUAGUAUAAUUACAAUUCACAGAAGCUGAAAUGGAGUUCACCAUGCAGAAGCUGCCAAUGCAAUUUUUGGGUCCAAAAUGCUCUCUACUGGCAAUGACAAAGUGAGGUUUGGUGGGCUUUCUUUUCCUUCCUUUUCUCAAUUCCUCCAAUAGAAUUCAAAGAAAUCAUUGAACCAAAUUUCCCUACCUCCAUCAAAAAAUUUCUUUCUUUGCGAAGAUUGUUAAUAUGGACAUGCACUAACUAACUAAGGAGAUGUUUUAUUAGUUAGUUAGUGCCAAGAAUUUACAAAUAUUUAUUCUUAUCUUAAUUAGAAUGUAAUAAUGCUGGGUUUUUUAAUGGAUUACAGCAUUUGGGUCAGUGAUGAGCUCAAGGCAGGACAUCCAUUUUGUUAUAUUAAUGGUGACAAAUUAUAGAGAACACAUAUUUUGAAGAGCUAAGGGAAAAUGGAGAGGAACAGAUUUUGCCAUUAAAUGAAUGAAAAAUAGUUAUUUUAUGUGUUGCUCAUUGGAGCAAUGAGCAAGGAAGAUUGUUGAGAUUUCUUUCAUUCGAUGGUUCUAUCUAAGUGAAAGUUAAUGAUUAAUUGUAAGCAUAUGAACGAAUCUAUUAUGGAAGAUUCAAUUGCAACGUGAAAGUCAAGGUGCCUAUUUAACAUUUAAUUUAUUUUACAUGAAUUAUGAUCUAGAAGCAUGGGAAAGGAGUUUUAUUGCCAAUUUUCUCCCUUUUUUUUUAAUUUUUUUUUUAAGAAUCAAGCGCGCACACACACACUCACACACAAGGGAUUCCGCCUUUGUGUUUGAUUCUCUUCUUAAUCUAUCUCAAAUCAUGAAUAACUAUUAAUAUUUGUUCUAAAAUAAAAAUGUUCAUGAUAAUAUAAGGAGGAACCUAUAUAACAUCAUUUAAGUAUGGAAUAAGUCUAACUCAACCGCUCCCGGCUCUAUCUCUCUAUAUCUCCAACAUCGAGUGAGCUUCUCAUAUAUAUAACUGAUUAGCUAAUGUCACUGGUAUAAACAAUUCUAAUUGAAAAUUUAAUUGCAAGUAUUUAUUGGAAUUGGGAAAAAUGUGUUACUUCAUGUUAUUACUUUAAAAUAUGUUAAAUAUUCUAUAUAACCUUCUCAUAUAGUGACUUACAAUAUUAUCCGCGCAUCGUGCGGGCCCCUCGACUAGUUGUCUUAUAAGAUUAGUACAUAUUUUUUUUAAAAAAUAUCUAGGUGUGUAGUGGUAAAUUUUUUUUUUAUUUUUAUAAGAACUCUUACUUAUAUAAUGCUGGUACUUUUAUUGCUUAUAAAAGCUUGUGUGAUAGCAUGGAUUCCAUUUCGUAGAGCCUUUGGUGGAAGCCAGCAGAUGGAAUACCUUAUGUACGACUAAGCCAGCAGUGGAAAGUGUCUCACAUCAAAAGGCAGGGAAAUGUCCCUGCACAUCUAUUGGCCCAACCGCCCAACAUGCCCAGCAUGUUGUGGACUACGUUGCAUGGCCAGGGGAGUGGCCUAGCUUGAUAGAACAUGCAUGUAAUGAAGACAAAUUGUAAUUUGCUUCUUUAUUUUCGAUGAAGUUUUAAGUAUUUCCCAUCCAAAAAAAAAAAGAAAAAAAAAAGAAAAAGAAAAAGAAAAAGAAAAGAAAAGAAGAAUUGAAGAGAAAAGUUACCUUUUAAACUUUUCCUCCCAACCAUUCAUACAUCUCGUGCAAAUUGCAGACAUCCCUGAAGAUUGAGAGGACCUGUUUCUCAUCAAAAAAUCGGGAUCCUCUGCUUUCCUGCACAUUAACCAGAGAUUUCUCACAGAAUUCCAUCACGAGGAAUGCUUCUUUAGUUCGUCCCAUAUCCAAGAUGGUAUGGGCAUUUUAUUUAUUUAUUUAUUAAUAUUAUUGGUCAUUUUUUCCAGCAUAAAGAAAAGCAACAUUUUCAAAAGAUCAAGGCAGAAAAAUAUAAAAUACAUUGAAAGCUUGGAGUGCAAAAUAAAAGUCUGGAAGUCAUCCAAGAAAAUGUGCUUCUCAACAAAGGAUGACAUUUAGUGAUAGUAUUGGACAUAUAUGAGAACAGGAAACAUCAAUCACAUAAUCUUGCAAGAUUUGGAAUCCCAUGACUUGAACUUGAUUAAAAAUUCAAUACUUUACAUGUGCUAGAUCAGAAACAGGAAACAUCAAUAAUAUGGUAGCCAAUAAUAUGUGGUUCUUGGGAAGAGUGAUGCAGUGAUGCUUGAGAUACAUGCAUGUUGUUUUGGGUUUGGAGUCUGGAUGUCCUAAUUUGUUUUUAUUUUAUGCAUAGGGGCAUGACAUUUUGUAAUUUCUUUGUAUUUGUUUCAGAUUUGGCUGGUCAAAAUGGGCUUUAGCUUGUAUCUCCACUAUGACAGUCUCAGAUCUGGUAAACAUAUUUUCAACUGGCCUUUGCAGCAUUAUAGAUGGUUAAGUAAAGGGGAUCCUAUAGCCCUUCUCUUAUGUUUCUUUUUUGUUAUGAAGAUGCUGAAAAGGAUGAUUGCAAGAGCAGCAAGAGGCAUUCUUAUUGUGUUUCAGGUGGGAAAGGAAAUUGAGAUUUCAAACUUCAUUAUAGAUGAUCCCUGCAUCAUCUUCGAUUGGAAAUUUAACUGAGCUUGCUUAUCUUAGUUUUCUGCUUCUUUGCAUUGA